UUCAUUCCUUAUAAUAUUAGUAAAUCGCUUUUGAUCUAUACAUUUAAUGAAUAAUUCUAAAGAAAAUAUUAAUUUUAUAUGACGCAGACCAGUAUUGCCGUAGCAUAAAAUGGAAACCGAACAGCCUAGAGUAUCAACGUAACGCCAUUCUUAGGACCUCAUAUAUAGCAUGACGAAACGGCAACUGUUUUAACGAUAAACAGAAUAUUGAUAAAAAUCAAAUGAACCGCUCUUUAUGUUACGAUUGAAUUUAGAUUAUAUUGCUUUCAUUGCACAAUGACAUAAUUACACACCUUUAUGGUUCAUCUAGAAAGUUAAUAAGAUAUCAUUCAUUAAAGUUACUUGUAUAUAAUAAUUAAUUCAUUAAUUAAAUCCGUUAUUGAUAACACUACUUAACUAAUCGGAACCUGACAUUGAAUACUACUGUAUUUAAUAUUUCCUUCUACACGGCCGAAUCAAUGGUACGAAAUAGUUCUUCUUAAGAGAAGCGUAUAGCUAAUGUAGUUAGAUUUUCUAAACAGCAAGAGCUUUGUCUUUUUCAGACUGUAGGUCAAUUGAUAGAAGUAAUUGUAACUGUAUUGCAUGAAUAGAUACAAAAUUCACACUGCAAAAUGAAAAAUGAAUUGAAAAAAAAUUAAUUGAAUUUUCUUUCUUUUUUUUUUUUAUGAUUUUCAAUAUCGGCGUUUCUUGACUUUAAAUGUCCACUGACUGGGAUUUAAACGGAUGACCCUCCAUUCGGAUCACCUUUCAGUCCUCGUUUGAUCAUGACUAUAAGCUUGACCUAACUUAUUCAGUUGAAACCGAAUUAACCAACCCGAUAACUGUAUAAGAUUUCAAAUAGAUUAAGCGUUUUUAAAAGGAAAGACAACUACGACUGACAAAGGCAAUGUGCUUACAGGUACAAUUGAAGAUACAUCAAUAAUCACAAUUUAAACUAGUAUUUAUCAUUCGAAAGUUCAUUAUAUAAUUUUAGGGGUACUCGUAAGAUCAAUUUAAGUUUGAUUUAACGGAAGGAAAACAAUACAUCAAGAAUAAAAAUACCACAGAUAUUCACAUCAAAGUUCAACGCUUGCAUGGAAGGUGUGCAAAGAUUCAGGUACUUUAUUUACUUCAUCAAACUCCCCGUCGAGGCCUCAUCUAGAUAGAUAUGAGCAAACGAACUAUUGCGGUAGUUUGAUACUUCGCCAGCAUUUUAUUUUGUCUUUUCAUUCGGUUUGACUCCAUUUAUGGACAAGAACCGAGAUUUGAUGCUAAUAAUAUGCACAUCAUUUUUCAGCAUGUUUGUUUUCAAUGAUAUAUUUCAAAUUAAUAAUGUACUAGGGCUCGUGGCAACUAUCCAUAUGAAGAGGAGAGAUAUCGGGUAUCUUGGUGUGCCAUCAAUUUUCAGAUACCAUGCUUAAGAAAGUCAGCUACUUAUACCUUUUGAUUCAAGGUAACCUGAAAUUUCAAUACUUCCGUCAAUACUUUAAGGAACUCUGUGUUGGUAUUAGAUAACUGACUGACUGACCAUCGCACAAGGAGUGAUAUUAGGUAUCUUGAUAUGUCAUCGAUCUUCAGAUAUCACGCUUAGGGAAGUUAGCUAUACAAUGUACGUACACGUUUUAAUCCCAGGUAACCUGAAACUAGGUUGUUUUGUAAAUAUCUUAAGGAACUCCGUGUUUGUAUUUGAUAUCUGAGUAAUUUACAGCUAUCCAUAUGAAGAGGAGGGAUAUCGGGUCAUCGAUUUUCAGAUACACUGUAUCAUGUUGAAGGAAGUCAGCUAGUUAUAUCGAUUGAUUCAAGUUAGCCUGACAUUUCAUCAUUUGCGUGAAUACCUUAGAUGUCUUUUCGUUUGUAGUAGAUAUUUGACGAAUUUAUAGAGUAUGCAUAUGACGAGGAGUGAUAUUAGAUAUAUUGAUAUGCAAUAAAUUUUCAGAUAUCUCGUAUAUCAGAUAUCAGCUACUUUGACCUAUUUAAUAAUAUACUAUAAAAAUUUCAUUUGUGAAUACUUUACGGAGCUGUGUGUUUGUGUUAGAUGUAUUAUUAAUGCAGGGCUCCAGGAUAAAGCUAACAGCACCUAUAGAGGAACCACUAAGGAAAAUCAUCAGUGGACUGAAAGUACGUGGAUACAGUAUUCCUUCUUUCUAUGAAAGAGUUUGAAUAGGGAGUACCGUCCCCUUGGAGCCACUGGGUGGUACCCCUACAACCCCAAACUGAAAAUGGGAACUGAUAGCCCCUGGGUCCUCGACCUUGACCUGAUAUACCGUCCACCUCGUCUUCAGAGAUUACAGCUACAGAGGUAGUCAAUCAAUCAAUCAAUCAAUCCGUGUAUGGUCUAUGAGAUACGGAAAAUUGUCAAACUUCAUGCGAGUGAAACAGCACUCACAUUGAGACGUUAUUACACGGCUACCCAUGUCCUAAAUCAUAAUGUAUCGGUUAUGCAAGAAAAUUCGUUUGGAGUGUUUCCGGUUAUGAGUUAAAAGAGAACAACACGCCGCUUCGACAGGAACGUAUUCACCAAAACUAAAUAAAGAUGCUGCUUAUGGAACCAAAGAUAGACCCAGAUAGUAUGUCAACUGUAUGUAUAGUAGGUGCAGAGAAUUGAAGAAGAUAGAGUGUAUUAUUCUAAGGGACCAUUAGACAGAGAUCGCCUCCAAAAAAAUAUAUUUACCGAAUGCACCAAAUCGACAUGCCAGAGAACAACCCAUCAGGCAACAUGAUGGUUACAGAAUAAACGACUCUAAGCUGUUGCAGCCACAGAGACUUGGACUAAACUUUGAUUACAUGUCAGAAUCUAAUGUGUAAUAAAAAUACUAGUUAAUUUUGAGCGUGGUAGAAUAAUUAAUAAACUAACAAAAAUUGACAUUCGAAUUGACGUCGCGCACGCUAUUGGUGUCAAUUUUGGUAACGUCAAAAUGACGUUAAAACGCAACGUAAUAACAUCGAUAUGAUAUAAUUUACGUUACAAGAAGUUUUGAUGAAAACAAAUAUAUAUAAAAUUGAUAUGACAGGGGUAUGACAAAUGAAGCGAACGCAGUAUAAAACGAAUUAGAUAUUUUUCCCGAGAGAUUAUACUUAGGUAAAUUAUAAUGGCUAAACUAAACUUGCGACUUAAUCAGAAUUAGUCUAUAUUUCCUCCGUGAUCUUCAUAACUGUUCUGUUUUAAACCAAUAGGAAUAUACCAUCACAAUACUACGUAUUUUAAAAGAAAAUUCCAUAAUGAACUCUUCAAAAUGUUUUCGUUCAUCUUGUGAUUUUCAGUAAUUUGCCAUGCAAUAAUUGUAAAUUAAUCUGAAAUGACUACAAUAAAAAGGAAUAGUUAAAAUUAUGUAAUAUGGUACAGAUGUAUGCGCCAUUAACUAGCACGUCAACCGCCGUUACACAGAGAUAUUAUUUCUAUAUACGAUUUCUGUUAAUUUAGAGAAAUAAAAUGUUGAAUAUAAGCAUGCUACGAGGAUUUGGGUAUGAAUUAAUUCUUACUUGCAUGCAUGCGGACUAAGUGAAAUUUACUAUCCAUAAUUCAGUGCUUGCCUCUAAUACUAUACAUGAUGGGUUUUGUAUAUAUGUGUAAACACCACAUCAAUGAAGUGAACACAAACGCUUACACUGUAAAAUUUUGAGAUGAAUACAUGCAUAUAUCCUCCAAAAUCGCAAUUUCAUUCUGCAUUUCGUUUUUAGAAUACAUCUGUAACAUUGAUAAAAUAAUCACAAUUACAUAUAUUUUUCUGGUUAACUUU